rnacentral:lncRNA from 1 species
GCGGCGGAAGGUGAUCGAAUUCCGGUGAUGCGAGUUGUUCUCCGUCUAUAAAUACGCCUCGCCCGAGCUGUGCGGCAGGCAGUGAGGCAGCCAGCGCAGGGGCUUCUGCUGAGGGCGCAGGCGGAGCUUGAGGAAACCGCAGAUAAGUUUUUUUCACUUUGAAAGAUAGAGAUUAAUACAACUACUUAAAAAAUAUAGUCAAUAGGUUACUAAGAUAUUGCUUAGCGUUAAGCUUUUAACGUAAUUUUAAUAGCUUAAGAUUUUAAGAGAAAAUAUGAAGACUUAGAAGAGUAGCAUGACGAAGGAAAAGAUAAAAGAUUUCUAAAACAUGACGGAGGUUGAGAUGAAGCUUCUUCAUGGAGUAAAAAAUGUAUUUAAAAGAAAAUUGAGAGAAAGGACUACAGAGCCCUGAAUUAAUACCAAUAGAAGGGCAAUGCUUUUAGAUUAAAAUGAAGGUGACUUAAACAGCUUAAAGUUUACUUUAAAAGUUGUAGGUGAUUAAAAUAAUUUGAAGGCGAUCUUUUAAAAAGAGAUUAAACCGAAGGUGAUUAAAAGACCUUGAAAUCCAUGACGCAGGGAGAAUUGCGUCAUUUAAAGCCUAGUUAACGCAUUUAAACGCAGACGAAAAUGGAAAGAUUAGUUGGGAGUGGUAGGAUGAAACGAUUUGGAGAAGAUAGAAGUUUGAAGUGGAAAACUGGAAGACAGAAGUACAGGAAGGCGGAGAAAAGAAUAGAGAAGAUAGGGAAAUUAGAAGAUAAAAACAUACUUUUAGAAGAAAAAAGAUAAAUUUAAACCUGAAAAGUAGGAAGCAGAAGAAAAAAGACAAGCUAGGAAACAAAAAACUAAGGGCAAAAUGUACAAACUUAGAAGAAAAUUGGAAGAUAGAAACAAGAUAGAAAAUGAAAAUAUUGUCAAGAGUUUCAGAUAGAAAAUGAAAAACAAGCUAAGACAAGUAUUGGAGAAGUAUAGAAGAUAGAAAAAUAUAAAGCCAAAAAUUGGAUAAAAUAGCACUGAAAAAGUGAGGAAAUUAUUGGUAACCAAUUUAUUUUAAAAGCCCAUCAAUUUAAUUUCUGGUGGUGCAGAAGUUAGAAGGUAAAGCUUGAGAAGAUGAGGGUGUUUACGUAGACCAGAACCAAUUUAGAAGAAUACUUGAAGCUAGAAGGGGAAGUUGGUUAAAAAUCACAUCAAAAAAGGACUGGUGUAAUUUAAAAAAAAACUAAGGCAGAAGGCUUUUGGAAGAGUUAGAAGAAUUUGGAAGGCCUUAAAUAUAGUAGCUUAGUUUGAAAAAUGUGAAGGACUUUCGUAACGGAAGUAAUUCAAGAUCAAGAGUAAUUACCAACUUAAUGUUUUUGCAUUGGACUUUGAGUUAAGAUUAUUUUUUAAAUCCUGAGGACUAGCAUUAAUUGACAGCUGACCCAGGUGCUACACAGAAGUGGAUUCAGUGAAUCUAGGAAGACAGCAGCAGACAGGAUUCCGGGAACCAGUGUUUGAUGAAGCUAGGACUGAGGAGCAAGCGAGCAAGCAGCAGUUCGUGGUGAAGAUAGGAAAAGAGUCCAGGAGCCAGUGCGAUUUGGUGAAGGAAGCUAGGAAGAAGGAAGGAGCGCUAACGAUUUGGUGGUGAAGCUAGGAAAAAGGAUUCCAGAAAGGAGCGAGUGCGAUUUGGUGAUGAAGCUAGCAGGCGGCUUGGCUUGGCAACCACACGGAGGAGGCGAGCAGGCGUUGUGCGUAGAUAGAGGAUCCUAGACCAGCAUGCCAGUGUGCCAAGGCCACAGGGAAAACGAGUGGUUGGUAAAAAUCCGUGAGGUCGGCAAUAUGUUGUUUUUCUGGAACUUAUGGUAACCUUUUAUUUAUUUUCUAAUAUAAUGGGGGAGUUUCGUACUGAGGUGUAAAGGGAUUUAUAUGGGGAACGUAGGCCGAUUUCCGGGUGUUGUAGGUUUCUCUUUUUCAGGCUUAUACUCAUGAAUCUUGUCUGAAGCUUUUGAGGGCAGACUGCCAAGUCCUGGAGAAAUAGUAGAUGGCAAGUUUGUGGGUUUUUUUUUUUUUUUUUUUUUUUUUUACGAAUUUGAGGAAAACCAAAUGAAUUUGAUAGCCAAAUUGAGACAAUUUCAGCAAAUCUGUAAGCAGUUUGUAUGUUUAGUUGGGGUAAAUGAAGUAUUUCAGUUUUGUGAAUAGAUGACCUGUUUUUACUUCCUCACCCUGAAUUCGUUUUGUAAAUGUAGAGUUUGGAUGUGUAACUGAGGCGGGGGGGAGUUUUCAGUAUUUUUUUUUUGUGGGGGUGGGGGCAAAAUAUGUUUUCAGUUCUUUUUCCCUUAGGUCUGUCUAGAAUCCUAAAGGCAAAUGACUCAAGGUGUAACAGAAAACAAGAAAAUCCAAUAUCAGGAUAAUCAGACCACCACAGGUUUACAGUUUAUAGAAACUAGAGCAGUUCUCACGUUGAGGUCUGUGGAAGAGAUGUCCAUUGGAGAAAUGGCUGGUAGUUACUCUUUUUUCCCCCCACCCCCUUAAUCAGACUUUAAAAGUGCUUAACCCCUUAAACUUGUUAUUUUUUACUUGAAGCAUUUUGGGAUGGUCUUAACAGGGAAGAGAGAGGGUGGGGGAGAAAAUGUUUUUUUCUAAGAUUUUCCACAGAUGCUAUAGUACUAUUGACAAACUGGGUUAGAGAAGGAGUGUACCGCUGUGCUGUUGGCACGAACACCUUCAGGGACUGGAGCUGCUUUUAUCCUUGGAAGAGUAUUUCCAGUUGAAGCUGAAAAGUACAGCACAGUGCAGCUUUGGUUCAUAUUCAGUCAUCUCAGGAGAACUUCAGAAGAGCUUGAGUAGGCCAAAUGUUGAAGUUAAGUUUUCCAAUAAUGUGACUUCUUAAAAGUUUUAUUAAAGGGGAGGGGCAAAUAUUGGCAAUUAGUUGGCAGUGGCCUGUUACGGUUGGGAUUGGUGGGGUGGGUUUAGGUAAUUGUUUAGUUUAUGAUUGCAGAUAAACUCAUGCCAGAGAACUUAAAGUCUUAGAAUGGAAAAAGUAAAGAAAUAUCAACUUCCAAGUUGGCAAGUAACUCCCAAUGAUUUAGUUUUUUUCCCCCCAGUUUGAAUUGGGAAGCUGGGGGAAGUUAAAUAUGAGCCACUGGGUGUACCAGUGCAUUAAUUUGGGCAAGGAAAGUGUCAUAAUUUGAUACUGUAUCUGUUUUCCUUCAAAGUAUAGAGCUUUUGGGGAAGGAAAGUAUUGAACUGGGGGUUGGUCUGGCCUACUGGGCUGACAUUAAUUACAAUUAUGGGAAAUGCAAAAGUUGUUUGGAUAUGGUAGUGUGUGGUUCUCUUUUGGAAUUUUUUUCAGGUGAUUUAAUAAUAAUUUAAAACUACUAUAGAAACUUCAGAGCAAAGGAAGUGGCUUAAUGAUCCUGAAGGGAUUUCUUCUGAUGGUAGCUUUUGUAUUAUCAAACUUUUUUCAGAUAACAUCUUCUGAGUCAUAACCAGCCUGGCAGUAUGAUGGCCUAGAUGCAGAGAAAACAGCUCCUUGGUGAAUUGAUAAGUAAAGGCAGAAAAGAUUAUAUGUCAUACCUCCAUUGGGGAAUAAGCAUAACCCUGAGAUUCUUACUACUGAUGAGAACAUUAUCUGCAUAUGCCAAAAAAUUUUAAGCAAAUGAAAGCUACCAAUUUAAAGUUACGGAAUCUACCAUUUUAAAGUUAAUUGCUUGUCAAGCUAUAACCACAAAAAUAAUGAAUUGAUGAGAAAUACAAUGAAGAGCCAAUGUCCAUCUCAAAAUACUGCUUUUACAAAAGCAGAAUAAAAGCGAAAUGAAAUGAAAAUGUUAUACUACAUUAAUCCUGGAAUAAAAGAAGCCGAAAUAAAUGAGAGAUGAGUUGGGAUCAAGUGGAUUGAGGAGGCUGUGCUGUGUGCCAAUGUUUCGUUUGCCUCAGACAGGUAUCUCUUCGUUAUCAGAAGAGUUGCUUCAUUUCAUCUGGGAGCAGAAAACAGCAGGCAGCUGUUAACAGAUAAGUUUAACUUGCAUCUGCAGUAUUGCAUGUUAGGGAUAAGUGCUUAUUUUUAAGAGGUGUGGAGUUCUUAAAUAUCAACCAUGGCACUUUCUCCUGACCCCUUCCCUAGGGGAUUUCAGGAUUGAGAAAUUUUUCCAUCGAGCCUCUUUAAAAUUGUAGGACUUGUUCCUGUGGGCUUCAAUGAUGGGAUAGUACACUUCACUCAGAGGCAUUUGCAUCUUUAAAUAAUUUCUUAAAAGCCUCUAAAGUGAUCAGUGCCUUGAUGCCAACUAAGGAAAUUUGUUUAGCAUUGAAUCUCUGAAGGCUCUAUGAAAGGAAUAGCAUGAUGUGCUGUUAGAAUCAGAUGUUAUUGCUAAAAUUUACAUGUUGUGUUGUGAUGUAAAUUGUGUAGAAAACCAUUAAAUCAUUCAAAAUAAUAAACUAUUUUUAUUAGAGAAUGUAUACUUUUAGAAAGCUGUCUCCUUAUUUAAAUACAAUACUGUUUGUCUGUAGUUUAGUGUUGGGGCAAUCUUGGGGGGGAUUCUUCUCUAAUCUUUCAGAAACUUUGUCUGCGAACACUCUUUAAUGGACCAGAUCAGGAUUUGAGCGGAAGAACGAAUGUAACUUUAAGGCAGGAAAGACAAAUUUUAUUCUUCAUAAAGUGAUGAGCAUAUAAUAAUUCCAGGCACAUGGCAAUAGAGGCCCUCUAAAUAAGGAAUAAAUAACCUCUUAGACAGGUGGGAGAUUAUGAUCAGAGUAAAAGGUAAUUACACAUUUUAUUUCCAGAAAGUCAGGGGUCUAUAAAUUGACAGUGAUUAGAGUAAUACUUUUUCACAUUUCCAAAGUUUGCAUGUUAACUUUAAAUGCUUACAAUCUUAGAGUGGUAGGCAAUGUUUUACAUUAUUGACCUUAUAUAGGGAAGGGAGGGGGUGCCUGUGGGUUUUUAAAGAAUUUUCCUUUGCAGAGGCAUUUCAUCCUUCAUGAAGCUGUUCAGGAUUUUGAAUUGCAUAUGAGUGCUUGGCUCUUCCUUCUGUUCUCCUAGUGAGUGUAUGAGACCUUGCAACUUCACAGAGAAUGCAGUUGUCUUGACUUCAGGUCUGUCUGUUCUGUUGGCAAGUAAAUGCAGUACUGUUCUGAUCCCGCUGCUAUUAGAAUGCAUUGUGAAACGACUGGAGUAUGAUUAAAAGUUGUGUUCCCCAAUGCUUGGAGUAGUGAUUGUUGAAGGAAAAAAUCCAGCUGAGUGAUAAAGGCUGAGUGUUGAGGAAAUUUCUGCAGUUUUAAGCAGUCGUAUUUGUGAUUGAAGCUGAGUACAUUUUGCUGGUGUAUUUUUAGGUAAAAUGCUUUUUGUUCAUUUCUGGUGCUGGGAGGGGACUGAAGCCUUUAGUCUUUUCCAGAUGCAACCUUAAAAUCAGUGACAAGAAACAAAUUCCAAACAAGCAACAGUCUUCAAGAAAUUAAACUGGCAAGUGGAAAUGUUUAAACAGUUCAGUGAUCUUUAGUGCAUUGUUUUUGUGUGGGUUUCUCUCUCCCCUCCCUUGGUCUUAAUUCUUACAUGCAGGAACACUCAGCAGACACACGUAUGCGAAGGGCCAGAGAAGCCAGACCCAGUAAGAAAAAAUAGCCUAUUUACUUUAAAUAAACCAAACAUUCCAUUUUAAAUGUGGGGAUUGGGAACCACUAGUUCUUUCAGAUGGUAUUCUUCAGACUAUAGAAGGAGCUUCCAGUUGAAUUCACCAGUGGACAAAAUGAGGAAAACAGGUGAACAAGCUUUUUCUGUAUUUACAUACAAAGUCAGAUCAGUUAUGGGACAAUAGUAUG